CCUACGGGUGGCAGCAGUGAGGAAUAUUGGUCAAUGGGCUUACGCCUGAACCAGCCAAGUCGCGUGAGGGAAGACUGCCCUAUGGGUUGUAAACCUCUUUUGUCAGGGAGCAACGCCGGCUACGUGUAGCCGGACUGAGAGUACCUGCAGAAAAAGCAUCGGCUAACUCCGUGCCAGCAGCCGCGGUAAUACGGAGGAUGCGAGCGUUAUCCGGAUUUAUUGGGUUUAAAGGGUGCGUAGGCGGGAGAGCAAGUCAGACGUGAAAUUCCAGGGCUCAACCCUGGAACUGCGUUUGAAACUGUUCUUCUUGAGUGAUGGAGAGGCAGGCGGAAGUCCGUGUGUAGCGGUGAAAUGCGUAGAUAUACGGAGGAACACCAGUGGCGAAGGCGGCCUGCUGGACAUUAACUGACGCUGAGGCGCGAAAGCGUGGGGAGCAAACAGGAUUAGAUACCCGGGUAGUC
rnacentral:rRNA from 1 species